CUUGUGUUAGUCUAUUUCUGCCCCAGAUAAAACUUUUCUUUCACCUUUUUCCUGGGAAAGAUGAUGUCCUGUGCUUUCCUGUUUUUAUUUGUCUUUUGAUACAUAUGUAUGUAAUAUUAUUAUUUCUUUAUGUUGUGAAGACAAGGUUCUCCACACCAGGUAGUACGAUAUUUUUAUUGUUUGCUUUCCUUUUUAAGAUGUCACACUCUUCAAAUUCCUUUUGUAAUUUUUUGAUGACAUGGGGAGUGACACCUUGCCUCCCAACCAAAUUCUGGGUCUCCAUAUACAUAAUUUUACAUAAUUUGUUAACCAUAAUUAAAUACAUUUAUGCAAAAAUGAGGCUAAUUUGAUUAAAUGAAGGAAGUUGUUUCAAAUGGUACAAGAAAUGCUCUUGUAUAAUUUCAAAUUUUUUAAUACAAG
rnacentral:lncRNA from 1 species